rnacentral:rRNA from 1 species
GAAGGCAUCUUCUUAUUUUUAAAAGACCUAGCAAUAGGUAUGCUUAGGGAAGAGCUUGCGUCACAUUAGUUAGUUGGUGGGGUAAUGGCCUACCAAGACGAUGAUGUGUAGCCGGGCUGAGAGGUCGAACGGCCACAUUGGGACUGAGACACGGCCCAAACUCCUACGGGAGGCAGCAGUAAGGAAUUUUCGGCAAUGGAGGAAACUCUGACCGAGCAAUGCCGCGUGAACGAUGAAGUAUUUCGGUACGUAAAGUUCUUUUAUUAGGGAAGAAAAGAUGGUGGAAAAACCAUUAUGACGGUACCUAAUGAAUAAGCCCCGGCUAACUAUGUGCCAGCAGCCGCGGUAAUACAUAGGGGGCAAGCGUUAUCCGGAAUUAUUGGGCGUAAAGGGUGCGUAGGCGGUUAAAUAAGUUUAUGGUCUAAGUGCAACGCUCAACGUUGUGAUGCUAUAAAAACUGUUUAGCUAGAGUUGGAUAGAGGCAAGUGGAAUUCCGUGUGUAGUGGUAAAAUGCGUAAAUAUACGGAGGAACACCAGAAGCGAAGGCGGCUUGCUGGGUCUUAACUGACGCUGAGGCACGAAAGCGUGGGGAGCAAACAGGAUUAGAUACCCUGGUAGUCCACGCCCUAAACGAUGAGUACUAAACGUUGGAUAAAACCAGUGUUGAAGUUAACACAUUAAGUACUCCGCCUGAGUAGUACGUACGCAAGUAUGAAACUUAAAGGAAUUGACGGGACUCCGCACAAGCGGUGGAUCAUGUUGUUUAAUUCGAAGGUACCCGAAAAACCUCACCAGGUCUUGACAUGCUUUUGCAAAGCUGUAGAAAUACAGUGGAGGUUAUCAGAAGCACAGGUGGUGCAUGGUUGUCGUCAGCUCGUGUCGUGAGAUGUUGGGUUAAGUCCCGCAACGAGCGCAACCCUUGUUGUUAAUUGCCAUCAUUAAGUUGGGGACUUUAGCAAGACUGCCAAUGAUAAAUUGGAGGAAGGUGGGGACGACGUCAAAUCAUCAUGCCCCUUAUGACCUGGGCUACAAACGUGAUACAAUGGCUGUUACAAAGGGUAGCUAAAGCGUAAGCUUCUGGCGAAUCUCAAAAAAGCAGUCUCAGUUCGGAUUGAAGUCUGCAACUCGACUUCAUGAAGUUGGAAUCGCUAGUAAUCGCGAAUCAGCAUGUCGCGGUGAAUACG